GGGGCUGACCGGUUUUGACAGCAUAAAUCUUUGUAAGUGUAAGCAUGUAGUGCGUUGUAUAAUUAGCACUUUAAUCUGAAUAUUCAACCUUUCAAAUGGCAAUACACAGUAUGCCAUGGCUGCUUAAUCGAUAGAUUAGCAUCCAUUAGGGCCGCCGGGCAGGUUCACCUUUUACCAUGCUCCGCCGCCGACUCAAAAACAAAAAAGGUUGCUGUAAUAGAAUGAUGUGACUAUUGCUUAAGACUAUUCAUCUAAGGAAGUGGUUGGUUUGUUUGGCUCCUGCCAUUUCUCUACAAUUAAUGCCAAAAUAAACAUGUAGAAAGCUUAUAACGAGUAUGUUUGGACCAGGGUUCGAUUCCCUGCAGCUCCACUU
rnacentral:tmRNA from 1 species